rnacentral:rRNA from 1 species
GGAGGGGGCGAGCGUUAUUCGGAUUUACUGGGCGUAAAGCGCACGUAGGCGGCUAGGUAUGUCAAAGGUGAAAGCCCUCGACUCAACCGAGGAACUGCCUUUGAAACUGCUUGGCUUGAGUCCGGGAGAGGGGAGCGGAAUUCCCAGUGUAGCGGUGAAAUGCGUAGAUACUGGGUGGAACACCGGUGGCGAAGGCGGCUCCCUGGACCGGCACUGACGCUGAGGUGCGAAAGCGUGAGUAGCAAACAGGAUUAGAUACCCUGGUAGUCCACGCCGUAAACGAUGGGCACUAGGUGCAGCGGGUGUCGACCCCCCUGCUGUGCCGAAGCUAACGCAUUAAGUGCCCCCGCCUGGGGAGUACGGUCGCAAGGCUG